ACGUAGCAUGACUUACCUCACGUUCCUGCACCACCGCCGUAACAACAGUGCUUUAUGACUACCCUUCCGGAGCAAGGAACAACCCCGACUCCUCACUGUGUGUUUCUCUUUGAAAGCUUAUGCAGAUUAAUGGCGAAGGAGGAGUUAGUCUCUCGCCCCUGGGUCAUUGGCUGGGUGCCUUUCCUCGUCGUGGCUCUUAUUGUUGCCCACCUCCUCGCUUUCGCUUAUUGGAUUUACAGGGUGGCAACCGAAAGACAGUCACAUAGGAGAAAGACGCAUUGAUAUAGGAAUUUAUGCUAGGAAAGAAUCUUAACACGUCUAGCUCCAUAAACUAAAAGUUGACCACUCAUGUACCAAAGGAAGCAAGCACACGCUGGAUACCUCAGCUUUUGGGGUGCCACGGAAGGGAUUGAGUUUAUAUGAUUUUUUUUCUCUUGCUUCUCCUAGGGUUUAUUAGUUGUUAAAACUUUUCGUUCUUAUUUUUAUUGUAAGUCUAAUGGUUUAUUGUUGAUAAAUAAGAUAACUCCUGUUUUGCUCUGAUCUUUAAGAAAUUUUGAGGACAUGGGUUUUGAUAAUUUUCUACGUAUCAAAUAUCCUGUAAUGUAGGCGGACAGCCUGCCCCUGUUGGAUUGGUGGGCAAGAUGAUCUCUCUACUGUCCAAUAUGUGGAGCUGCUAAACAUUGUCAAAUUAUUACUGAAUCAACAAGUGAUUUUAAUCAUCUGAAUAA